rnacentral:rRNA from 1 species
GACGAACGCUGGCGGCGUGCUUAACACAUGCAAGUCGAACGAAGAGCGAUGGAAGCUUGCUUCUAUCAAUCUUAGUGGCGAACGGGUGAGUAACGCGUAAUCAACCUGCCCUUCAGAGGGGGACAACAGUUGGAAACGACUGCUAAUACCGCAUACGAUCUAACCUCGGCAUCGAGGAUAGAUGAAAGGUGGCCUCUACAUGUAAGCUAUCACUGAAGGAGGGGAUUGCGUCUGAUUAGCUAGUUGGAGGGGUAACGGCCCACCAAGGCGAUGAUCAGUAGCCGGUCUGAGAGGAUGAACGGCCACAUUGGGACUGAGACACGGCCCAGACUCCUACGGGAGGCAGCAGUGGGGAAUCUUCCGCAAUGGACGAAAGUCUGACGGAGCAACGCCGCGUGAGUGAUGACGGCCUUCGGGUUGUAAAGCUCUGUUAAUCGGGACGAAAGGCCUUCUUGCGAAUAGUUAGAAGGAUGACGGUAC